CCCUCCUCGUGCAAGGCGCAGGCCGCCUGCCUGGAGCGGGGACCCUCUGGAUCUCAGGAUAAACAAACCGUCGCUCUGGCCCAGCCCUCCGCCGGCUCGCGCUCCCCGCCCCCUCCUGCCGCAGUGCACAGCCGCUCUGCCGCUCUGCUCCGCUGCCAACUUGGCAGCUCAUCUCUGCUGUUACUAUCAACACCUCCGAGGGAAAAGAGAGAGAACUCAGCUCUCUCUGAUCGCCUGGCUCACCGAGCAGCGAAUUCGUGUCAGAGCCAGCCCUGGAAUACCUCCGAAGCUCCCAAGGCUUCCUUGGCGAGGAAGAAAAGGAACCCUUCUCCCAUAUGUGAAACUGAUCUGAGACCCCCUCUAUUCCCCUCUCUGGAUGUCUGAAAAUGACCACCAAGAGAGACACAACCACUUUUCUGGUGAGAAGCCCCCAGAUCCCCAAAGGCCAGCUGACUUUCCAGUAGGCAAGAGGAACAGAGAAUUCAUUCAGUGUGCAGGGUUGUAAACAAGCCACGAAGGACUGUGCCAUUCCAGGCUGCACCUGUGAGCAUCCUUCUGCUGAAGCCCUGUCAGCGUUUCCAUGACAAACUCGUGUUUCCGGAUGCCUCUCUCCCAGCUUCAAGAGGAUGCCUUGCAAUGAAACGCAACACUGAAAAUGCCUUCAUAAUUUUCUCCCUAAAAAAAAGUUGCAUGCUCUAAAAUUUCA